GGAUAGCUCAGUCGGUAGAGCACGAGACUCUUAAUCUCAGGGUCAUGGGUUUGAGCCUCACAAUGGCCA
rnacentral:tRNA from 1 species